rnacentral:rRNA from 1 species
AGUCUACGGGAGGCAGCAGGUGGGGGAUAUUGCACAAUGGGGGAAACCCUGAUGCAGCAACGCCGCGUGAGGUAUGAAGGCCUUUGGGUUGUAAGCCUCUGUCCUAGGGGAAGAAAAAAAUGACGGUACCCGAGGAGGAAGCCCCGGCUAACUACGUGCCAGCAGCCGCGGUAAUGACU